rnacentral:rRNA from 1 species
GACAUAGGUGGCGAACGUUAUCCGGAAUUAUUGGGCGUAAAGAGCUCGUAGGCGGUUUGUCGCGUCUGCUGUGAAAACCUAAGGCUCAACCUUGGGCUUGCAGUGGGUACGGGCAGACUAGAGUGCGGUAGGGGUGACUGGAAUUCCUGGUGUAGCGGUGGAAUGCGCAGAUAUCAGGAGGAACACCGAUGGCGAAGGCAGGUCACUGGGCCGCAACUGACGCUGAGGAGCGAAAGCAUGGGGAGCGAACAGG